UACGUAGGGUGCAAGCGUUAAUCGGAAUUACUGGGCGUAAAGCGUGCGCAGGCGGUGAUGUAAGACAGGUGUGAAAUCCCCGGGCUCAACCUGGGAAUUGCGAUGGAGACUGCAAGGCUAGAAUCUGGCAGAGGGGGGUAGAAUUCCACGUGUAGCAGUGAAAUGCGUAGAGAUGUGGAGGAACACCGAUGGCGAAGGCAGCCCCCUGGGUCAAGAUUGGACGCU
rnacentral:rRNA from 1 species